CCUACGGGUGGCUGCAGUGAGGAAUAUUGGUCAAUGGACGAGAGUCUGAACCAGCCAAGUAGCGUGAAGGAUGACUGCACUAUGGGUUGUAAACUUCUUUUAUAUGGGAAUAAAACGUUCCACGUGUGGGAUUUUGUAUGUACCAUAUGAAUAAGGAUCGGCUAACUCCGUGCCAGCAGCCGCGGUAAUACGGAGGAUCCGAGCGUUAUCCGGAUUUAUUGGGUUUAAAGGGAGCGUAGGUGGAUUGUUAAGUCAGUUGUGAAAGUUUGCGGCUCAACCGUAAAAUUGCAGUUGAAACUGGCAGUCUUGAGUACAGUAGAGGUGGGCUGAAUUCGUGGUGUAGCGGUGAAAUGCUUAGAUAUCACGAAGAACUCCGAUUGCGAAGGCAGUUCACUGGACUGCAACUGACACUGAGGCUCGAAAGUGUGGGUAUCAAACAGGAUUAGAUACCCGUGUAGUC
rnacentral:rRNA from 1 species